AGGUGGAGAAAUUGAAGCUUGGCAUCCCAGUGUCCCAUUCAAGACGUUCCAAGCAGUAGAUGGAAAUGCAGCACGUGAGGACAUAGUGUUCCUUUUCUCUGAAGGAUGCAGCAAGAAAGCGCCAUCUUGGAAAGGGAGACGAAGCUCUUACCAGACACCAAACCUGCUGGCACCGUGAUCUUGGACCUCCCAGCCUCCAGAACCAUGAGAAAUAAAUUUAUGUUGUAUGUAAA